rnacentral:rRNA from 1 species
ACGAACGCUGGCGGCAGGCCUAACACAUGCAAGUCGAGCGCUACCUUCGGGUGGAGCGGCGGACGGGUUAGUAACGCGUGGGAAUAUACCCUUCACUAUGGAAUAGCCUCGGGAAACUGAGAGUAAUACCAUAUACGCCCUCAGGGGGAAAGGUCAGCCGCUAAAAGAGGGCCCGCGUCUGAUUAGCUUGUUGGUAAGGUAAUGGCUUACCAAGGCUACGAUCAGUAGCUGGUCUGAGAGGAUGAUCAGCCACACUGGGACUGAGACACGGCCCAGACUCCUACGGGAGGCAGCAGUGGGGAAUAUUGC